rnacentral:misc_RNA from 1 species
CGAAGGAUACGUACGAGUGUGCGCACUGUCGCUUUCCGCUCUUGCCCCCCGUCUGUAAGCCCCCCUUUCCCUUUUCUUCGUUUUUCCCUUUUCGCUUCACCGUCUCGUUCCCACACGACACACGACACACGAAAGGAUACUCUCCUUCUUUCCGCCUGCUUCCUCUUCCCUCUUGUUCUGCACGUCCUGUGUCGGUCUCUCUCUUUCCCCACCCCCUUCUUGGUCUUGUCUCGAUUUAGUGAAGCGUGUGCUGGCAUUUUGCUAGUGCCUGUGUGUGUGUGUGUGUGUUUGAUUGCGCACCUUUCACACUCCCUCCCUUGCCCCCGCCCGCCUCGCACCUUCCCACUCUUCCAUUCGCCCUUUCUCUCACUGUGCGCUUCUCUCGCCACACCCUCCCUCACCCCUUCGUCUCGCUCUCCCCGUUUGAUAGGGCUUCUCUCCUCUCCUCUCCUCUCCUGCUCCCCUCCCCCACUCCCCCCCACCCCCUCAGUUGCUGCUGGCGGUGUUUGAGCUUCGACAGCGCUUGUGCCCCGCGCGCGCUCUCUUGCCCAUCUUUAACGGCGUCUUUUAUUCUUGUGACCCUCCCUCUUCGCCCCACCCGCAAGCUGCCUCUUCAACCCAGCCGAUCUCUUUUUCUUGUUCCGACUCGAGGCAAGGGUGAGACCAGGGUGUGUGGGGGAGGGGGUCAGUCAUAGCGACACGCACAGAGCCCCCCCCCCCCCCCCCCCCCCACACACACACACACACACACACACACGGUACACCGUAUCGGGAAUUCGUUAAUCAGCGGUCGCCGUCUUAGGAGAAUCAUUGAAGACUCUGUUGGACGCGUGGCGUGUGUGUAUGUGUGUGUGUGUGUUGUAGGGACGCCUUUCUUCGUUUUGCUAUGCCAUCCUCUGCGGCACCGUCACCCACACCAGGCGGCACGCACCUCGAAGACGCUGGUAGUGCUGAGCCCGCAGCCGUCCCCUCCUCUUCACCUACAUCCUCCUCUAGUAGUGCGGGCUUCUCCCACUGGUGGCAGCGUCUCUACUCUGCCCACACCUUCGCAGAGGGGCUGCGCGUGGUGUUUGAAGUGGUGCCGCUGUGGGUUCCUGUCGCCGGCGUGAUCACGACUGCAGGCACGUACUAUGUCACCUUCCGCGUGCGUCUCUUUCUCGCGCAGUGGCGCAUCGCCGAGCGUCGCCGCGCUGAGCGCAAGUACGAGCUGCUCGACAAUCUGCGCGGCAUGAAAAUCGUGCCGGUUGGCGCGGUCCACGCACUCGGCGACGACGACGACGAUGAUGAUGACGACGAUGACGACGAGGAAGAGGACGAGACGGCAGUGUCGCGACGCGACGUAGAUGAGUUCCGCAGCAGCCUCGGUAUUCGUCUACCCCGCGAUGAGGAUUUGAUGGCUAUUGUCGAGCGCAUGCUCAUGUCAGACACGCUGCCGGAUGGGUGGGUGCUCUACCGCACGAGUGCCGGCAUCGUUCGCUUCAUGAACCUGAACACACAGGAGCUCUUCUUUUUCCCGCCCAACAAGCGCAAGGAGAAGGCGCUCAUCGAGUCCGAACUGAAGAAGCGCAACCGUGAGGCCAUGGAGAGUAGAUACAACUUCUCGUACGAGGAUGAGGGCAUGAACUCGAGCUCCCUUUCUCCUUCUCGCUCCGACACGCAGAAUUUUGAGACGUCGCACCGCUCUGCUCGCGAGGACGGCGGAACGGCAGGGGGAAACGCCUCUCCUAUCGAUUUCGACGACGGCGCCGGCGCCGAGGACCCGAAUGACGGCCUCAGUAGCACCUUCCGCCGCGUAUUCAGCUACUUCCUGGAGCGUGAGCAGAAGAAGAUUGAGCAGGGUGUCGCCUUAGCGCGGUCGUCGCGCGAAGGGUCGGUGCUCGGCGGCCCGUCGGCAGGCCCCUCCAGCGCUUUUUUGGGCGGCACUGGUAGUGGCCAAGGAAGUGGCAGCGGUGCUGGGGGUGCCUCUGGCGUCGCAGGUGGCGGCCACGACGGGGCCACUGCAUCCCACCGCACGAGCGCCUCUAUGACGUACCGUGUGGUGUCCUCAAGCUCCAUUCACGGCGGGCGUAGUGGGAACAAUUAGAGGAGCGGAGAAGGUCGGUGCUCCUCUCUUCUCCUUCCCUUCUUUCCCAUUGGCCGCCUCCCCUCCUCCCCCUCCCACAUCGUUUUCAUGGAGUGGACCGUGCUGCUCGGCAAACAGGAGACAGGAAAAAAGGAGGAGGGGAGGAGGAGGGGGGAGGGGUCGAACAGCAGACGCCUUAGCCUCACACAGGUGUCGAUAUGACGCGCGUUGUUGAUAAGGCGGCAGAGUGUUUAUUUUUUGUUUGCCCCCCCCCCCUCUUCCUCCCCUCUUGCCCUCCGUUUUGCUACCUUGAAAACCAGUGGCUACUCCCUCCCUCCCUGCCCUCCGUCCCUAUCUUCCUCCCCCCUCCGCUUUCUUCCUCUGCCUGAGUGUCUGCCCGUGUGGCCGUCUGGGUCGCAUGCAUGCGUUGUGUAUGGGUCACUUUUUUUGUGUGUGUUUUUGGUGAAGAGGGGUGCGGGAGAGGUGAAUGGGGAGUGAGUGGGUCAGGGGAGGAGGAGGAGAGAUCAGGCUUGCAUCUGUUCUCUCCUCUCCUCCUCCACCUCCCUCUUUUUUUUUUGCCGGUUGCGUGUGUUUUUCCUUUUUCGGAAUUUCUUUUUGUGUGUCAGUGUGUGUGUGUGUGUGCGAUGGGGCGGAGAUUGGGGGAGAUGAGGGUAGGGUAGGGGGUGAGGUGGUGAGGGAAAAGGGGAAAGGAGGAUAGGAGGGGGUGGGUGAGAAGAGUGAAAGCAAACGAAACGUAGAACCAGUUGCCAUCGCGUGCUGCCACGGUGAGGUGUACCCUCAAGGGUUGUUGUGACCUUCUCUCUGCCUUUCUCACUGCUUUGCGUUGUGGUCGCUUUUCGCCGCUCCUCCCCUCCCUUCCCUUCUCUUCCCUCACCCACCCGCGCCCUUCUGCUGCACGCACUGCAUUCCUUCGACGCAUGUGCGUGUCUCUGUCUCUCUUUUUUUCCCUGCCGUUCUCUGUCGUUGUGGGAAAACUGCGAGGGAAGGAAGAAAGAGGAGUCUGAGAGAGAGCAGGAUGGCUGCGAGGUGAGGGGUGAGGAGGGGUGGGAGGGCAUGAGAGAUGCAAGAGCCGAACCUUGGGGUAUGGGUUUUGCCUGCUUGUUGCUGCGCGCAUUUCUCUCACAAGCAUCCUCUUCCGCUCAGUCUCGUGCUCGACUGCUCUUUUCUUUUUGUUGUUGUCACUCGACUUCGCCUUCUUUCUCUCUGUGUUUCUCUUCUCGAAGUGAGCGGUGCUGUCGAUGAUACUGGAAGGCGCUGCUGCUGCUAAAUGUGCGGAUGCGCGUGCGUAUGUGGGCGAUUCACUACCGCUGCGACUCACUCGCCUCUUUGCGUUGUUGUUCUCCCUUCUUCAAUCCUCGUUGUUCGCGUAUGCGUGUGUGUGUGUGUGUGUCUAUGCGCGAAUGAGCGAGUGCGUAGGCGGAGUGUGGUGAGGGGCUGGGGAACAGGUGAGGGCUUGCGUGGGUGCCUUUGCUUGCCUAGGUCGGUUCUCUUUAGCUCUCUAUCCGCACAAACACGCUUGUGUACUUUCUUCCCUUUUUUGCAUCGCACCGGUCAUCAUCUCUCACUCGGAGAGCGCCAACCACCACCACCUCCGUCCUCCUCUUCUUUCUCUUCGGCGACACUGCGUCUCCGCCGCACUUGCCCUCGGUUUAGCUUCGGUUUCAAUCCCUUCUCAGUGUGUAACGGGCCAGCUCUAGCACUGCACAUAAAAAAAAUCAACAAAAAGGGCAAGAGAGCGAACGAAAAGUGUGCAUUCGAACAGUGCGGUGGCUGCGACCCAGAAGACAAGUGCGCGCAGGGUAAGGUCGAGGGGGGAGGGAGGUUGUGGUGGACGUGACGAGCGGUGACGAAACGGGGCAAGUCGCUGCGCGUCCGUACUCUCGUCUUUCUCACUUCUUUUCCGCACCUCUGCUGGUGCGCUUUCCCACGACGCAGGUGCUCCCAUCCCUUUCUGCCCUGCUUCCGCUUGCGCACACGCCUCUGGGCAUGACUGUGCGCUCCUCUCCUACGGCAAACCUUUAUCUCACGUAUUUACUUCUCUCUUGCCCCAUUUGUACAUCUCCUUUUCCCUUCGCCACACUCAUACGCACGCACCUUCAUCACCGCGUUGCGCCCGCCUUCGCAUUCUUGCUUUUCUUUGGUUGUGCUCACGUGUGUGCAUGCGUCCUUGCGCGUCUACUGCUCCCCUAUUUCCACUCCACAUUCUCCGCCAG